rnacentral:tRNA from 1 species
AGGGUAUUAAUUUAAUGGUAAAAUAGGACACUACGGAUGUCAAUUUUGUAGUUCAAGUCUACAAUGCCCUU